rnacentral:sRNA from 1 species
CAGAAGUCGAGCAUCGCCUGCUAGGACUC